UCUUAUGGAUGAGCAAAGAAAGUGGUUUCUUGAGAUAGAAUCUACUACUGGUAACGAUGCUGAUAA
rnacentral:pre_miRNA from 1 species